GGGCUCACUUUAGCAGCAUGUAUUCUAAGAUUGGAACAAUAUGGAGAAGAUUAGCAUGGCCCCUGCACAAGGAUGAGAUGCAAAUUCAUGAAGUGUUCUGUGUUUUA
ensembl:snRNA U6 U6 spliceosomal RNA